rnacentral:rRNA from 1 species
CCCUUAGAUGUUCUGGGCUGCACGCGCGCUACACUGAUGCAUUCAACGAGUCUAAAACCUGGUCUGAUAGGGCUGGGUAAUCUUUUGAAAGUGCAUCGUGAUUGGGAUAGAUGAUUGCAAUUCUUCAUCUUCAACGAGGAAUGCCUAGUAAACGCAAGUCAUCAGCUUGCAUUGAUUACGUCCCUGCCCUUUGUACACACCGCCCGUCGCUCCUACCGAUUGAAUGAUCCGAUGAAUAUCAUGGAUUGAGGAUGCAAGUAGGUUCGCCUAUCUUCAUCUUCGAGAAGUGAAGUAAAUCUUAUCAUUUAGAGGAAGGAGAAGUCGUAACA